rfam:Candidatus Nitrosotalea devanaterra genome assembly, chromosome: 1
GCGGAGUUAGUCCAGCCCGGUAGGACGUCAGCUUCCCAAGCUGAAGGUCGCGGGUUCAAUUCCCGCACUCCGCA